GGGAAGGAGAGGUGGAGAAACAGGUAGAGGGAAAGAGAGGUGGAGAAACAGGUAGAGAAACAGGUAGAGGGAAAGAGGUAGAGAAACAGGUAGAGGGAAAGAGAGGUGGAGAAACAGGUAGAGAGGAGAGGUGGAGAAACAGGUAGAGAGGUGGAGAAACAGGUAGAGGGAAGGAGAGGUGGAGAAACAGGUAGAGGGAAAGAGAGGCGGAGAAACAGGUAGAGUGAAAGAGUUGGAGAAACAGGUAGAGAAACAGGUAGAGGGAAAGAGGUAGAGAAACAGGUAGAGCGAAAGAGGGUUGGAGAAACAGGUAGAGGGAAAGAGGUAGAGAGAAGGAGAGUUGAGAAACAGGUAGAGGGAAAGAGGGACAGAAACAAGUAGAGAAAAAGAGAGGUGGAGAAACAGGUAGGGAGAAGGAGAGGUGGAGAAACAGGUGGAGAAACAGGUGGAGAGGUGGAGAAACAGGUAGAGGGAAAGAGGUAGAGAAACAGGUAGAGGGAAAGAGGUAGAGAAACAGGUAGAGGGAAAGAGGUAGAGAAACAGGUAGAGGGAAAGAGGUAGAGAAACAGGUAGAGGGAAAGAGGUAGAGAAACAGGUAGAGAGAAGGAGAGUUGAGAAACAGGUAGAGAGAAGGAGAGGUGGAGAAACGGGUAGAGAGAAGGAGAGGUGGAGAAACGGGUAGAGAGAAGGAGAGGUGGAGAAACGGGUAGAGAGAAGGAGAGGUGGAGAAACGGGUAGAGAGAAGGAGAGGUGGAGAAACGGGUAGAGAGAAGGAGAGGUGGAGAAACGGGUAGAGAGAAGGAGAGGUGGAGAAACGGGUAGAGAGAAGGAGAGGUGGAGAAACGGGUAGCGAGAAGGAGAGGUGGAGAAACAGGUAGAGAGAAGGAGAGGUGGAGAAACAGGUGGAGGGAAAGAGGUGGAGAAACAGGUGGAGGGAAAGAGAGGUGGAGAAACAGGUAGAGGGAAAGAGAGGUGGAGAAACAGGUAGAGGGAAAGAGGUAGAGCGAAAGAGGUUUGGAGAAACAGGUAGAGGGAAAGAGGUAGAGAGAAGGAGAGUUGAGAAACAGGUAGAGGGAAAGAGGGAGAGAAACAGGUAGAGAAAAAGAGAGGUGGAGAAACAGGUAGAGAGAAGGAGAGGUGGAGAAACAGGUAGAGAGAAGGAGAAGUGGAGAAACAGGUAGAGAGAAGGAGAGGUGGAGAAACAGGUGGAGGGAAAGAGGUGGAGAAACAGGUAGAGGGAAAGAGAGGUGGAGAAACAGGUAGAGGGAAAGAGAGGUGGAGAAACAGGUAGAGGGAAAGAGAGGUGGAGAAACAGGUAGAGGGAAAGAGAGGUGGAGAAACAGGUAGAGGGAAAGAUAGGUGGAGAAACAGGUAGAGGGAAAGAGGUAGAGAAACAGGUAGAGCGAAAGAGUUGGAGAAACAGGUAGAGGGAAAGAGGUAGAGAGAAGGAGAGUUGAGAAACAGGUAGAGGGAAAGAGGGAGAGAAACAGGUAGAGAAAAAGAGAGGUGGAGAAACAGGUAGAGAGAAGGAGAGGUGGAGAAACAGGUAGAGAGAAGGAGAGGUGGAGAAACAGGUAGAGAGAAGGAGAGGUGGAGAAACGGGUGGAGAGGUGGAGAAACAGGUAGAGGGAAAGAGAGGUGGAGAAACAGGUAGAGUGAAAGAGUUGGAGAAACAGGUAGAGGGAAAGAGGUAGAGAAACAGGUAGAGGGAAAGAGGUAGAGAAACAGGUAGAGGGAAAGAGGUAGAGAAACAGGUAGAGGGAAAGAGGUAGAGAAACAGGUAGAGGGAAAGAGGUAGAGAAACAGGUAGAGGGAAAGAGGUAGAGAAACAGGUAGAGGGAAAGAGGUAGAGAAACAGGUAGAGGGAAAGAGGUAGAGAAACAGGUAGAGGGAAAGAGGUAGAGAAACAGGUAGAGGGAAAGAGGUAGAGAAACAGGUAGAGAGAAGGAGAGGUGGAGAAACAGGUGGAGAGGUGGAGAAACAGGUAGAGGGAAAGAGAGGUGGAGAAACAGGUAGAGGGAAAGAGAGGUGGAGAAACAGGUAGAGGGAAAGAGAGGUGGAGAAACAGGUAGAGUGAAAGAGGUAGAGAAACAGGUAGAGGGAAAGAGGUAGAGAAACAGGUAGAGGGAAAGAGGUAGAGAAACAGGUAGAGGGAAAGAGGUAGAGAAACAGGUAGAGGGAAAGAGGUAGAGAAACAGGUAGAGAGAAGGAGAGUUGAGAAACAGGUAGAGAGAAGGAGAGGUGGAGAAACGGGUAGAGAGAAGGAGAGGUGGAGAAACGGGUAGAGAGAAGGAGAGGUGGAGAAACGGGUAGAGAGAAGGAGAGGUGGAGAAACAGGUAGAGAGAAGGAGAG